rnacentral:rRNA from 1 species
ACGGAGGGUGCAAGCGUUAUUCGGAUUUAUUGGGCGUAAAGGGCGCGUAGGCGGCUUAUCAGGUCGGAUGUGAAAGCCCGCAGCUUAACUGCGGAAGUGCAUCCGAAACCGGCAGGCUUGAGUAUGGGAGAGGGAAACGGAAUUCCCGGUGUAGCGUUGCAAUGCGUAGAUAUCGGGAUGAUCACCUGCGGCGAAAGCAGUAACCCGGACCAAUACUCAUGCUGGUGCGCCUAGCCGCGUGAAUAAGUCAG